rnacentral:lncRNA from 1 species
AAACAAUAGAAAUGUCGUCAAAUGUAUCCAUGGAGAAAUGAGAAUGCUUGGGUCGGUCGCCACCGGCGUAUUGUGCAGAGUUGAUCACAUCAGCUAAUUGUUCCAGCAGAUUGUGUAAAGUUUAUCAUAUCACUAUUGUUCCAGCAGGUGUUUCAAAGUCAAGGUUCCAGUCCCACCAUUGUUGGUCCAGUGUCUACUAUCACCUGAUCUAGGAGGUUAAUUAGUCCAAGAAUUCAAGGUAAGACAACUCAGGCAGGCAUCGUUUUCUUUUACAGUAAGGCACCUCAGUCAGACAUUGUUGAUACCGAAAGCUAAUUUGGACUCCGAAACAACCGGAAGAAAACAAUUGAACAACCGUAAGAAAAUAUAAGUAUGGUAGGAAGCAUCUGGGGCGGCAUUACAAAGACAAAGUCCAAGCCAAUUGUACAAAAUCCAUCAAAUCGACAAUGCGUGUGAGUAACCUACUUCUACUUAAUUACAAGAUCCUUUGAUCCUCAGGCGUGACAGAUUGCUAGUGCAUCGUGCUCAGGAUCUUGUUCGCCGCACUGGUGUGAUCUGUGCUGAGAGUUUUACACUUGCUAUCGACGAACAGGUAUGCAGUUUGCCUCAGCUUCUGCUCGCUCCACCUCGGUCUGUGUGGAUUGCAUGCAGAUCUGGAUGUGGAUCCAGGGUCGACAAAAUCUGGGGCAUUGACAUACCACCAGACACAACGAUCUCUGCCAAACGGCGCAGAAAUAUGUCAGCGCCUUUUCACAUGUUUUGGAGCAGAUUAACAGAUAAGAUAACGAGAGGAUAGAGUUUAGGAGUUACCAAUGCCUUCAUGCACAGAAAGAUUAGGCCUUAUCACAUCCUUCGAGUUCACCAUGAAGAUAUCACCAAUGUAGAGAUGGUUGGUCGGCACAUAGACACAGUAAAGGUCCUCUUGACCAGAAUAGCUCUGUUAUGACGUAACGAAGGGAUAUUACACAUUCAGAUGAGUCAAAGCUAUAGCAUAAAUCAGAGCAAAAAACAGAAUGGUUUGCAAAAGAAGCAUUUAUCAUCAUUUUGAAUAUUCCAAAAAUAUUCGUUUCCAUCCUUUACAAGGUGAGUUGGUCAAAUUUUGUGGUAAAACUGAAUUUCAACAUUCAACCAUGCAAGGGUUCAUGCCAGCGACUAAGAUUACAAGGCAACAUAGCUGCAUACUGAGCAUAGAGAAAAAUCUUAAAUAAUAUAUGUAAACCAGGUAUAACUGUGAAAAUCAUUGGGAACUCGGUAUAACAGUGAAGAGUAUAGUAAACCUGGAGCGAGACUGAUGAGGUAAUGAAUCCAAAUGCAUAUUCCCCAAUACGAGGAUGUCGUAUGAUGACUGCCUCCUUGAAUGCCUGUUUGUUUUGAUCUGUAAAAAGAAACAAAAGUUAGUGCAUAAGCUACUCUGCAGAUUGAACAUCAUGAUAACUGUGAAUUUACCUAGCGAUAUAGCAGCACUAAUUUGCUUGGAUGCAUUGUAGAUGUGGCGCACAAGUGGCAUGCGCUUGAUGAUCCAUUCACCAAUGCCAAGAACAGAUGCUUCAAUCCAAGAUGACAUGAAGACCCCAACGAAAAAUAUGAAAGUAACAGAAGUGAUGAAGCCAAGACCUGGAGAUUCAAAUGAGUACAGUGGGAAAAUAAGCUGGAUAGGCAGUAAGCAUCCUUCUUAGCAAUGAAUAAGUUACAAAAUAAUAACUGAUUUCAACUACUCAGUUUCAUGUCAUGUUUCACACAUUUUUUGUACAGAAAUUUAAGAAUCUAAUGACACGAUAAACUAGAACUUAAAAAAUUUAUCAAAUUAUGCACCUAAUUUCUAGGUUCAGCAUACGAAUUAUGCAGACUGUAUAAUACACAGCAACAGACAAUAACAUAUAAUAUAAUAAUAACACUAUAGGAUCAAACCCCAAAGUGGAAACAGGAUGAAGGCAGUCAUUUAUUGAAGAAACUACAACAUGACAUCAAACCAUCGAAGAAAUUUGAUAUUUCAAUACUAAAAGAAGCGGAGUAGUUUGCAUACCAAAAAUGUUGAUACCCAAUUGUGCAUAGAUUGGAGAGAAGAAUCCAUCAACAAAAUGAAUGAACCACCAGGUGAAGUAGAAUGUUAUCGCUAUGGGGAAGAGAAUCACACUGGCAUUUUCUCAGAAAAGAACAUCAAAACAGCAUCAGUGCUUACGUGAAAAUAAAAUUUAUAUAACAGACGCAGGACAGCUGGUAAUGGCUGGUGUGCAUAUUUACUGGUUAUCGCAGAAUAAGGAUGCGACUUCGAGUAAGAUUUAUUAUGUCCAGUCAGUAUUUGUAAUAAAUUUGGAGCACAUUUUGAAAUUACAAAUACAUUAAAAAAUGAGAACAAAAAUCAAAAUUCUGAUUUUUUUUAAAUGUUCACAUAAGCAAAUUCCAAGGGAAACAUAAAAUCAGAGAAGAAACAAAAUGUGAAAAAUAGAGACAAAACUAUAGCUGAAAAAAAUAUGACAAAUCGGUUUAGGAACCUUUUAUAUACUCUAGUUCCCAAAAUGAGCCAGGAACCUUCCAGAAGAUUCACAAUAUUGUGGCUCGAACGCUCAAAUGGGCCGGCCCAUUCAACGAUUGUGUGUGUGAUUGCCCAGUUUUUUGCCACAACAUGUGGCAAAUAAGAAAUUCCGUAUGUUUUGGGAGUAAUGUCAAAUAGACGGCAGCAUGCACAGAAGGUCGCCUGACUGAGCCACCCCAUUGUCGCGCGCGGAAAUAAGAAAAAAGUCACUGAAAAAAGAAUGGCAGUGCAUGGGGUCGAACAAUGUAACUCCCACUGUUGACCACUUGUCGCUAGCCACACGGGCUAAAAGGCUUCCAUUCAAACUAGGUAACACGGACUAUAAGAACCAUCCAUCAGCGAUUAGUUUACUGUAGAGAACCAGUCUUUUUCACAAUAUUUAAUUUUAUUUUUUCUAUUUGCUAUUUAUCUCUUUUUCAUUUUGUGUUUUAAUUUUAUUUUUUAUUUUUCAAAAACUGCUCAUGCUUUCAAAAAUUUGUUCAUAAAAUACAAAUAUUAGCAUUUUAAAAAUUGUAUAAUUUUUUUAAAUGUUCAUGCCUUCCAAAAUUUCUCAGAAUGCCAAAACACAAAUGUUUUCAAAAAAGAGCGAACACAAAUUUGAAAGCACGUUAAAAGCCCAAAAAGCCCUGUUUGGAAGCACCUUCUUUUUGAUAAAUUUUGCAUUUUCUGGAGUUUCUUGCUUAAAAAAGGCCAAUAAAUGGCCAGACAUGUCAAAAAUCAUUCAAACAUGGAUGGAUGCCUACCAAGGCAUGCCAACCUGCUCGUAAAAGUUAGGGUCACUUAUUCAUAUAUCAAAACAUACCACCAGUUGGGGUGCAUCCAUGGACAUGUAGUUUUUCCUAAUUUGAAUGUUAAUUGCAAUUUCUAUCAUUAUCAAUCCACAUGAACAAAUUGUGUGCGAAACUUUUACAAGGUUGAACACUUUUUCAAAAAUUGUUGACAAAUCUGAAUAGUUGAUGAAAACUUUGUACACAAUCAGAAAACUACGUACAUUUUAAAAUCUAUGAAAAUUACUAAAAAGAUAAUAUUUCUUAAAUUUGUGAACAAAAACUAUACUGAAAUUCUCGAAUUUUUUUUAAAAUUGCAAAGAAUAUUUGAAAACAAGAACAAAAUUUUCAACUUUUUGAACAUAUUUCAAAAAGAGUAAUAAAUUUUUAAAAGGAGAAAAAUAAAUUACCAAGAGAAAGAAAAAUGAAAAAAUAGAAAAAUAUGCUUAAGCCCCGGUAACUAGGCGACAUCAUCGCUCCUGUCGGGCGCCUGCUGGGAGAAAACCUUAUUUGACAUUUAUUGGGUCAAACAGUCGUUGUUUCUCACAAACCCUACUGAUACGAGUGAACAUGGGCCAAACCGUUUUAAUUUUUUGUUGCCUCUGGACAUGCUUGGUUUGGGAACCUUCUAGAUGGUUCCAGGUCGGUUUUUACCGGUUUGGAUACCUUCUAGAAGGUUCAUGAAUCCAUUUUCUUGUCUUUUUCUUAUUUUUUUUCCUUUUAAAAACGUAAAGUUCAAACAAAGUUCAAUGUACUUAUUUGUUCAUAUUUUCCAAAAAUGUUUGAAUAUUUCAAAUAAUGGUCUCGUUUUCAACAAAGUUAAGAGUUUCAAAAUUGUUUGUGUUUUGAAAAAUUGUUUGGAAUUUCAUUUUUUCUCAAUUUUCAUAAUUGUUUAGAGUUUCAAAAUAUGUUCCACUUUUCAAAGAAAAUUGUUUGCAUUUGUUUCAUGUUUAAAAAAAGUCGCAUUCAAAAUUCUGAACAAUAUUCAAAUUUGUUAUGUUGAAUUUUGUUUCGCAUUAAAAUAACUCACAUUUAAAAUUCCUUAAAACCUUUAAAUCUGUGGCUGGUCAUACUACCUCCGUUUGGAAUUUGAAGGCCAGCUAGCCGAAGUGGCAGUACCAAGAAAUUCACAAUGGUUAAUUUAUAGCAUUGUGUAGAGCUGUAAUUUUGGGAGGCAGUUAAUGCCAAUGGCUCAAGAAAUGAUUGCCUUGUAUGCAUUGGCUCAUCUUUUUUUUUGAGUGGAUGCAUUGGCGGCAAGCACGUCCUACGCGUUGAACAAUAGUGAAGCCAAGAUCAUGCACAUGACAAGCAUGGUUCUAAAAGCCAUGGAACGAACUGAUGAAUGCAGUGCCAAAACAAGUGCCUGCACAUGCACAUUUUACAUCCUACUGUGAUGGUGUGUAGCAGCCUAGUAGGAGCAGGUAAGUAUGUAGUGUAGACCGGUCGGACCCAGCUAGCGAACCGUCGCACGCGAAAAUGAUAGAAAUGUUGUCAAAUUUGUCCAUUGAAAAAUGAGAAUGCUUGGGUUGGUCGCCUCCAGCUUCAGAUCGUGCAAAGUGUAUCACUUCAGCUAAUUGUUCCAGCAGAUUGUGCAAAGUUUGUCAAAUCAGCUAAUUGUUCCAGCAAGUCUUUCAAAGUCAGGGUUCCAGUUCCACCAUUGUCUGUCUACUAUCGCCAGACCAAUAGGAGGUUUGGUUAUUCCAAGAAUUGAAGGUAACACACCUCAGGCAUGCAUUGUUUUCUUUUACAGCAAGGCACCUUAGUCAGACAUUGUCGAUGCCGAAAAUUAAUUUGGGCUCCCAAACAGCAGGAAGAAAAUGACUUAACAACAUUAAGAAGCAUCAGGGGCGGUGGUACAAAGACAAAGUCCAAGCCAAUUGUACAAAAUCCAUCGGAUCAGCAACGCGUGUGAGUCAAUGUUAGACUAAGUAUAUAUUAGAUAUACAUGUUGUAACACAACUUGUAUUUGUACGGUUCCCUCUUAUAAAUAUAUGACAGCCGUACCCACCAAGGGUAUCGAGCAUUGUUUCAAACCCUAAUACGUCUAACAUGGUAUCAGACGACGCGUUCGAUCCGCGGCACGCUUCCGCCUUCUUUGAUGCCGUCGCNNNNNNNNNNNNNNNNNNNNNNNNNNNNNNNNNNNNNNNNNNNNNNNNNNNNNNNNNNNNNNNNNNNNNNNNNNNNNNNNNNNNNNNNNNNNNNNNNNNNNNNNNNNNNNNNNNNNNNNNNNNNNNNNNNNNNNNNNNNNNNNNNNNNNNNNNNNNNNNNNNNNNNNNNNNNNNNNNNNNNNNNNNNNNNNNNNNNNNNNNNNNNNNNNNNNNNNNNNNNNNNNNNNNNNNNNNNNNNNNNNNNNNNNNNNNNNNNNNNNNNNNNNNNNNNNNNNNNNNNNNNNNNNNNNNNNNNNNNNNNNNNNNNNNNNNNNNNNNNNNNNNNNNNNNNNNNNNNNNNNNNNNNNNNNNNNNNNNNNNNNNNNNNNNNNNNNNNNNNNNNNNNNNNNNNNNNNNNNNNNNNNNNNNNNNNNNNNNNNNNNNNNNNNNNNNNNNNNNNNNNNNNNNNNNNNNNNNNNUCCACUUUGGCGAUGGAGUCGCCGUUCCUGGCGUUGCCUCCACUUGUCUGGGCCCAAUCUACUGCGUCGGGAUCAUAUCCUCCCGCGCCACAUCGAUCGCCCGCCAUGUUGCCACCGCCUCGGUCUCCUGUUGCGCCUCCGAUCGCGGCCACCCCGAUCCAGUCGCGGGGCACGCCUCCACCACCGGCCUCCUACGGCGCCAAUGGGCAGGCGGCCUACGGUGGUCUUCCAGCCCCGGCCCCGUACCACGACGCGGCCAGGCCGGCCCCGUACCACGAUGCACCCCUGGCCUCGGGGCCCUAUGGUGCUCCCAUCCAGGCGCCGUAUGGCGGCCCGUACCCGGCGCCCUACCUCGCGCCGUCGGUUGCGUCGUAUGUGCCGUAUUCUGCUACAGCCCCGACGUCCUACGCUGCUGCCCAGCCGUACACCGCUCCUCCUGCGCUCCCGUAUGGUGCGCACUCCUCGACAGCUUACGGCCAUCAUCAACAACCAUCAGUUGAGGCACUAGUCCCGUAUAGUGCUGUUCUGCCACCGGGUCCGCCGCCUGAUCUGCCGCUCUCCGCGCCGAUGGCCGAACCAGGGCCGUUUCACUUCGCCCAUCUGGUGACGGUGAAGCUUUCUGCUGAUAACUAUCUCCUGUGGCGCGCUCAAGUGUUGCCGCUGAUGCGGAGCCACUACCUUGAAGGAUAUGUAGAUGGCUCCCUGCCGUGCCCUCCGGCUAUGGUUCCGGUGCCCUCGUCCCAUGGUGGCUCUGUCAUGGUCCCCAACCAUGCUCAUCGUCGAUGGACUGCUCAAGAUCAAGCCAUCCUGGGUGCUAUUUAGUCGUCGCUCACUCCAUCCGUGGCUGGCAUGGUUGUCUUUGCCGCCACGUCAAGGGAUGCAUGGACCACGCUCGACUCCAGCUUCUCCUCACAGUCGCUCGCACGGUCGUCUGCUAUACGCAAUCAGCUGGGUGAGGUCAAGAAGAAUGAUCUCUCUGUCACUGCUUUCUUCAACAAAGUCAAAAGCUUGGCCGAUACACUGUCCUCCAUUGGGAAGCCGCUCCGUGAUGAGGAGUUUACUUCAUUCAUUCUAAAUGGACUGGACGAGGAUUAUGACUCUCUGGUUGAAACUGUCAACGGGCGUGACACGCCGAUGCCACCCCGUGACCUCUACGCCCGCCUCCUUAACACGGAACAACGGCUCGCUGCUCGUCGCUCUGUCGGAGUCUACAUGGAGGGACCUUCUGCGAAUGCUGCUCUUCGCGAAGGUGUCCGUGGUGCCAAGCAGAAGCCACCGCCGCCCUCGAGCAACCAGCCUCGUCCACCCGCUCCCGCCCCUCCAACGGCUGGUCGCAAGCGACUUCACUGCGAGGCGUGUGGUGGUGGUGUCGAGUGUCAGCUUUGCGGUAUUGAGGGGCACUUGGCGUCUCGGUGUCAUCAUCGGUUUAAACGUGAUUUCCUUGGCAUCGGGAACAAUGGGAAGGGCAACAAGACGUAAGCUGCUCUUGCCACACAGGAGCCCGGGUUCACUCCUUCAUACUCUGUGGAUCCUGCCUGGUACAUGGACACAGGCGCCACGGACCACUUGACGAGCCAGCUUGACAAGUUGGCCACUCGACAGCCCUACACCGGUCAUGAUCAGGUUCACACUGCCAAUGGAUUAGGUAUGCCCAUCUCACAUAUUGAUCAGGUAUGCCCAUCUCACAUAUUGGUCAGGCAUCUCUUCUUUCUCGUACCACUAAAACCUUGCGAAUCCUUGAUGUCCUUCGUGUUCCUUCAGUCACACGUAGUUUACUCUCGGUUCCUAAAUUAACUCUUGACAACAAUGUGUUUGUUGAGUGUCACCCUUUCCAUUUUUUUGUUAAGGAUCAGGACACGAGGGACGUUCUUCUUAGUGGUCGAUCUCGUGACGGCUUAUAUGCGCUUGAUGUGCCACGAGUACCUGAUGUGCCACAAGUAUCUCAGGUGUUCAGUGGUGUGCGGGUGUCGUCGUCGCAGUGGCAUUCUCGCCUUGGCCACCCUGCCACUCCCAUUGUGCGCCAUGUGCUUCAUCGUCAUCAUCUUCCCGUUGAGUCCAGUAAUAAGGAGUUUCUAGUUUGUGAUGCCUGUCAACAAGGCAAGAGUCAUCAGUUGCCCUUUUCUGUAUCAAGUCGUGUUGUCAAGGCUCCUCUUGAACUUGUGUUUUCCGAUGUGUGGGGCUAUGCCCAAACCUCUGUUAGUGGGCACAACUAUUAUGUCAGUUUCAUAGAUGCUUUCACUCGCUUUACUUGGCUUUAUCUUAUUAAGCGCAAAUCUGAUGUGUUUCAUGUUUUCAUGCAAUUCCAAGCACAUGUUGAACAGUUACUCAAGCACAAAAUUAUUCAUGUUCAGUCUGAUUGGGGAGGUGAAUACCGUAAUCUUAACACCUUCUUUCAGAAGCUUGGUAUCUCACAUCAUGUGUCUUGUCCUCAUACACAUCAGCAGAACGGUGCAGCUGAGCGUAAGCACCGUCAUAUAGUUGAAACUAGGCUAACACUUAUUUCAGGACAUAGUUAAGAUUGAGGGAGGGUGUUAGACUAAGUAUAUAUUAGAAAUACGUGUUGUAACACAACUUGUAUUUGUACGGUUCCCUCUUAUAAAUAUAUGACAGCCGUACCCACCAAGGGUAUCGAGCAUUGUUCCAAACCCUAAUACAUCUAACAGUCAACUACUUCUACUUAAUUAUAGAUCCUUUAAUCCUCAGGCGUGAUAGACUGCUAGUGCAUCUCGUUCAGGAUCUCGUUUGCCGCACUGGUGUAAUCUGUGUUGAAUACUCCCUCCAUAUCAAAAUAUAAGACGUUUUUGACACUGUCACAGUGUAAAAAAGGUCUUAUAUAUUUUCAUACGGAGGGAGUACUAGGUGAACUCCGAACUUAAUAAGAACGAACAAUAGAAUGGUUCUUUUGAAGUAUUUUGUAAGUAUUCCUUCCCAUCCUAUACUAGGUGAACUAGUCAAAUUUGUUUCUCUAGGGGAAAACUAGUCAAAUUUUGUUUGUUGAUGCCGAAAGCUAAGUGGUACUCUAAACAUUCAGAAGAACAAAAUUAAACAAUAGUAGAAAAAAUAUACAAUUAUGACUACGAAGUAUCUAUGGUGAUGCAAAGUAUAAGCCAAUUAUGCAAAUUGCAUCAGAUAAGCAAUGCGCGUGAGUCGCCUACCUCUACUUAAUUGCACAUCCUUCUGAUCCUCAGGUGCAACAAAUCGCUAACACAUUGUGUUCAUGAUCUUGUUUGGCCCAAUCAUGUGGUAUGUGUUCAAAGUUCUAUUUGUUAUUGGUGAACAAAUAUGCAAGUGGUUUUCCCCGGCUUCUGUUCGUUCUCCUAUGGCAUGCUUGGAUUGUAUGUGGAUGUUGAUCUAGGGUUGACAAAAUCCAGGGCAUCGACAUACCACCAUAUACAACGAUCUUUGUGAAACAUCCUAGAAAUGUGUCAACGCCCUUACACAUGUUUCUAAAGCAAAUUAUCAAAUAAGGUACCGAGAUGAGAGUUUGUGAAGGGGUGUCCGAGACCUUUGUGGUGUGUGCCUCUCAGGUGUGUAGCAACACUAGCAGAAACAGAUUCAACUAAUGUGGUUGAGGCAUACACAGGCCAAGAAACCAUACAGAAUGAGGCUACGGUGUUUUAUGAUAUUGUGUGGCGUUAGCUGGACUUAUUGUGGAGGUGGAGUUCAUCGUUACCAAGGGAAUUGAAUGGAGCGGCACCCAAGAUUGUCAAGUCUUGCUUUUCUAAUCUACUUUCAUGUAAUAGAGUCGAUGAAUCACCUGGUAUAUAAGGCUACAGUGAUGAUCUUUCCUAAGAAAAGGACUGGGCGUCCUUGGUGGAUGAGAGACAAUGAAAGCCGGUGUGCUUUUUAACAUUUAUUAAGAGGAGCUUACAUUAUCUUUAGAAACUUCAUGUGUGGUAACUUGUUACAAGGUAGUAAGAUUUCAGCUUUUGUAAGCCACACGGUACUAUAAACCAUGUGAAAAUCUGAAUUAAUAGCUAUGCCGAUACUUUUGGUACGGCGAGUAAAGCCGCACCUACUAGUUACAUUUGUAUAUGUUUCUUCUUUAUAAAUACUAAGAUGUGAGUGAUGACAUGACCCUGUAGCCAGGCAAACAAAUAUAGUUUGGUUCCUUAUUUGCUCGUCCUACUAAAGAAAACUCUGCCGCAAUUGCUAUUCUGAAGUGAUUAUGCUUUAGGAAUGAGUGGCAUUGGAAAAAACAAUUCAACUGGCGAGCCAAUACUCAGUGCACAAACUGAAACAAUAGUUACCUGGAACAGUUUUGGCACAACGAGUAUACUCGCACAUAGUAGUUCAUCAGGAUAGCAUUGUCCUAUUUACAUAUGCUAAAGAUUCGACUGCUGGCAUCAGUGGCGGAGCCAGUUCCCGGCGACCCGAGCCAACUGGUUGGGCUCACCGCUGUCGCUAGUUUGAGCUAAGUCUCUGGCAGCAACCACGUACUAUGCGUUGAACCAUAGUCAAGCCAAGAUCACGCACACGCCAACCAUGGUUCUCAAAGCCAUGGAGCGAACUGAUGAAUGUGGUGCCAAGAACAAGCGCCUGCACAUGCAUAUUUUUAGUCCUACCAAGCUGCUGUGUAGCAGGAGCAGCUCAGUGUAGCUUAGACCAGUCAGCGAACCACACACGGAAACAAUAGAAAUGUCGUCAAAUGUAUCCGUGGAGAAACGAGAAUGCUUGGGUUGGCAGAAACGGCAUGCUCGGGGGCAGGGGCGGCGCAACGACCGGCGCGGGCGACGGCGACGGUGUCGACGGGUGCGGGCGACGGCGACGGCGACAUCGACGGUGACGAGUAGCAGGGGCGAUGCGAUGACGGGCGCGGGCGACGGCGAUGGCGACAGCGACGAGGAGGAGGAGGAGGGGCGAUGCGACGACGGGCGCGGGCGACAGCGUGGUCGGGGGCAAGGGCGGCACGACGAUGGGUGCGGGCGACGGCGUGGUCGGGGGCAGUGGCGGCGCGACNNNNNNNNNNNNNNNNNNNNNNNNNNNNNNNNNNNNNNNNNNNNNNNNNNNNNNNNNNNNNNNNNNNNNNNNNNNNNNNNNNNNNNNNNNNNNNNNNNNNNNNNNNNNNNNNNNNNNNNNNNNNNNNNNNNNNNNNNNNNNNNNNNNNNNNNNNNNNNNNNNNNNNNNNNNNNNNNNNNNNNNNNNNNNNNNNNNNNNNNNNNNNNNNNNNNNNNNNNNNNNNNNNNNNNNNNNNNNNNNNNNNNNNNNNNNNNNNNNNNNNNNNNNNNNNNNNNNNNNNNNNNNNNNNNNNNNNNNNNNNNNNNNNNNNNNNNNNNNNNNNNNNNNNNNNNNNNNNNNNNNNNNNNNNNNNNNNNNNNNNNNNNNNNNNNNNNNNNNNNNNNNNNNNNNNNNNNNNNNNNNNNNNNNNNNNNNNNNNNNNNNNNNNNNNNNNNNNNNNNNNNNNNNNNNNNNNNNNNNNNNNNNNNNNNNNNNNNNNNNNNNNNNNNNNNNNNNNNNNNNNNNNNNNNNNNNNNNNNNNNNNNNNNNNNNNNNNNNNNNNNNNNNNNNNNNNNNNNNNNNNNNNNNNNNNNNNNNNNNNNUAGCCAGAGCAUUGAUCCCGGUUCGUGGCACCAACCGGGACCAAUGCCCCCAUUUAGUCCCGGUUGGUGCCACCAACCGGGACCAAAGGUGUUUUUUCAGUAGCCCAAAGGGCGGGAAGCAGAGGCCUUUGGUCCCGGUUGGUGGCACCAACAGGUUCUAAAGGGCGGCAUUGGUCCCGGUUGGUGCCACUAACCGGUACCAAUGCACCCCUUUAGUCCCGGUUGGUGCCACCAAUCGGGACCAAAGGCCUUGUGCUGCCCGCAUCAAAAGUUUAGUCCCACCUCGCUAGUUGAGAGAGCUCGAGAGUGGUUUAUAAGCGCUGCUGCGCCCACCCUCUCGAACUCCUCUCAACUGCAGGCUUUCGGGCCUAACCUGUCAUUGUGUGCAUGUUGGCCUUCUGGGCCUGCUGCGGGCCUGAAUCCUGGCCCAUGAUUGGGUUUCUAAUCAUAUUCAAGCCGUGGUGGCCCAAUAGGUGGCACUUUUUUUGCUUUAUUUAUUUUAUUUUGUUUCUACUUACUCUUGCUAUUUUUAUUUAUUUUAGUUUAUUAAAGUUUAUUUUGUUUCUACUUAUUUAUUAAAGUUUAUUUUGUUUUUACUUGUUUAUUUUACUUUAUUUCUACUUAUUUAUUUUCUUUUCUUUUUUGCUUUUUUAUUUAUUUUAUGAAAAUUCUUUUUGCUUUUAAUGUUUUGAACAGAAAAUACUUUGAUAAUUUUAGUUGCAUAAAUUUUAUAUAAUUUUAGUUGCAUAAAUUUUAUAUAAUUUUAGUUUCAAUAAUACUAGAAGUUUAUAAAAGAUUUUUGGUUGAUUCCUUUAGCUAUUAGAGUUUCAUUAAAGUUUUCUAGUUCAUUCUUUUAGUUUACUAUUUUUGCUAUUAGAGUUUCAUAAAAGUUUUCCAGUUCAUUCUUUUUUAUAUUAGUUCAUUCUUUGAGCUAAUUGACCCUGAAAUUGAAAAGCAUUUCAAAUGAACUCUAAAAAGGUUGAAAGUUGGCAUGGCAUCAUCAUUUCACCCACAUAGCAUGUGCUGAAAAGUUGAGAGGGUUACGGCAAAAACUGGAUGCACAUCAUGUAUAAAACAGACUAUUUGUUUCAAGGUAUCAGGGUUUCGGACGAAAACUCGUGUGUUACAACAGACAUUUCAUUUCUUCACAUGUAACUGCAAUGAUAUUCUAGAUCAAAGGCAUCAUCAUAAUAGUCGUGGAGAGAAAGUAUUCACUUUUUCUUCGCUUCUGUCCUUUGCUUAUUGCGCCGUAACCAUAGAUAAUAUUCAUCAUUUAACAGGGUGCUUGGGUCAGCCUUGACUUUGAAGGGAGGAAUUUCAUGAAACUUUGCAUAAUCUUCGGAUAUGUCUGUCUUGCCCUCCACUCCCGCGAUCUUUCUUUUUCGUGAAAAAACUAUGUGGCGCUUUGGCUCAUCGUAUGAUGUGUUCGCUUCCUUAUCUUUUCUUUUUUUGGUUUGGUAGACAUGUCCUUCACAUAGAAAACCUGCGCCACAUCAUUGGCUAGGACGAACGGUUCGUUUGUGUACCCAAGAUUGUUCAGAUCCACUUUUGUCAUUCCGUACUGUGGGUCUACUUGUACCCCGCCUCCUGACAGAUUUAUCCAUUUGCACUUAAACAAAGGGACCUUAAAAUCAUGUCUGUAGUCAAGUUCCCAUAUGUCCACCAUGUAACCAUAAUAUGUGUCAUUUCCCCUCUUGGUUACUGCAUCAAAGUGGACACUGCUGUUUUGGUUGGUGCGCUUUUGAUCUUGGGCGAUCGUGUAAAAUGUAUUACCAUUUAUCUCGUAUCCUUUGUAAAUCAAUACAGUCAAAGAUGGUCCCCUGGACAACAAGUACAGCUCAUCACAAAUAGUGUUGUCACCUCUGGGACUUGUUUCCAACCAACUGCCGAAAGUCCUGAUGUGUUCACAUGUAAUCCGGUCGUCACGCUGCUCUGGGUGUUUGGAGCGUAGACUGUUCUUGUGUUUAUCGACAUACGGGGUCACCAAGGUAGAGUUCUGUAGAACUGUGUACUGUGCUUGAGACCAAGAAUACCCUUCCCUGCAUAUUAUUGAGUCCCCUCCAAGCGUGCCUUUUCCAGUCAGUCUCCCCUCAUACCGCGAUUUAGGGAGACCAAUCUUAUUAAGGCCAGGAAUGAAGUCAACACCAAAUCCAAUAACAUCCUCUGUUUGAUGGCCCAUGGAGACGCUUCCUUCUGGCCUAGCAUGGUUAUAGACAUAUUUCUUUAGGACUCCCAUGAACUGCUCAAAAGGGAACAUAUUGUGUAGAAAUACGGGGCCCAGAAUAGCAAUCUCGUCGACUAGAUGAACUAGGACAUGCGUCAUGAUAUUGAAGAAGGAUGUGUUGGGGAAUGUAGCAGAAAUUCAAAAUUUUCUACGCAUCACCAAGAUCUAUCUAUGGAGAGACUAGCAACGAGAGAGAGGAGAGUGCAUCUACAUACCCUUGUAGAUCGCUAAGCGGAAGUAUUCAAGAGAACGGGGUUGAAGGAGUCGUACUCGUCGUGAUGCAAAUCACCGGAGAUCCUAGUGCCGAACGGACGGCACCUCCGCGUUCAACACACGUGCAACCCGAUGACGUCUCCCAUGCCUUGAUCCAGCAAGGAGAGAGAGAGAGGUUGGGUAAGACUCCCUCCAGCAGCAGCACAACGGCGUGGUGGUGAUGGAGGAGCGUGGUACUCCAGCAGGGCUUCGCCAAUCACCGCAAGAGACAAGGAGGGAGAGGGGCAGGGCUGCGCCAAGAGGGAGAGGUUCUCAUGUGUAUCGCAGCCCCAAACCCGCCACUAUAUAUAGGGGCAAGGGGGAGGGGGAGGCGCCCUAGGGUUUCCCCUAGGGGGGCGGCAGCCAGGGCAGAUGGGAUCUCCACUUUGGGUGACUUGGCACCCAACCAGGAUUUGGGAACCCUAGAUGGGGUGCCCCAACCCCCUGGUCACGUGGGAAUAGGUGAGGGGGCGCACAGCCCCUUAGUGGGAUGGUUUUCCCCCUUCCCUUGGCCCAUGAAGCCCCCCCCCCCCAACACUUGUCGGGGCUCCCGAAACACCUUUCGGUCAUGCUGGUCAUCACCCGGUACCUCCGGAACACUUCCGGACUCCAAAUACUUCAUCCAAUAUAUCAAUCUUCACCUUCGGACCAUUCCGGGACUCCUCGUGACGUCCAGGAUCUCAUCCGGGACUCCGAACAACAUUCGAUAACCACGUAUAUCUAUUCCCUAUAACCCUAGCGUCAUCGAGCCUUAAGUGUGUAGACCCUACGGGUUCGGGAACCAUGCAGACAUGACCGAGACAACUCUCUGGUCAAUAACCAACAGCGGGAUAUGGAUACCCAUGUUGGCUCCCACAUGUUCCACGAUGAUCUCAUCAGAUGAACCACGAUGUCGAUGAUUCAAUAAAUCCCGUAUAUAAUUCCCUUUGUCUAGCGGUAUUAUAAUUGCCCGAGAUUCGAUCGUCGGUAUCCCGAUACCUUGUUCAAUCUAGUUACCGGCAAGUCUCUUUACUCGUUCCGUAACACAUCAUCCCGUGAUCAACCCCUUGGUCACAUUGUGCACAUUAUGAUGAUGUCUUACCGAGUGGGCCCAAAGAUACCUCUCCGUCACACGGAGUGACAAAUCCCAGUCUCGAUUCGUGCCAACCCAACAGAUACUUUCGGAGAUACCCGUAGUGCACCUUUAUAGCCACCCAGUUACGUUGUGACGUUUGGUACACCCAAAGCAUUCCUACGGUAUCCGGGAGUUGCACAAUCUCAUGGUCUAAGGAAAUGAUACUUGACAUUAGAAAAGCUUUAGCAUACGAACUACAUGAUCUAUGUGCUAGGCUUCGGAUUGGGUCUUGUCCAUCACAUCAUUCUCCUAAUGAUGUGAUCCCGUUAUCAACGACAUCCAAUGUCCAUGGUCAGGAAACCGUAACCAUCUAUUGAUCAACGAGCUAGUCAACUAGAGGCUUACUAGGGACAUGGUGUUAUCUAUUUACCCACACAUGUAUCUAAGUUUCCUGUCAAUACAAUUAUAGCAUGGAUAAUAAACGAUUAUCAUGAACAAGGAAAUAUAAUAAUAACUAACUUAUUAUUGCCUCUAGGGCAUAUUUCCAACAGUCUCCAACUUGCACUAGAGUCAAUAAUCUAGUUCACAUCGCCAUGUGAUUAACACUCACAGGUCACAUCGCAAUGUGACCAACAUCCAAAGAGUUUACUAGUGUCACUAAACUAGUUCACAUCAUCAUGUGAUUACGACUCAAUGAGUUCUGGGGUUUGAUCAUGUUUUGCUUGUGAGGGAGGUUUUAGUCGACGGGUCUGUAACAUUCAGAUCCGUAUGUACUUCGCAAAUCUCUAGGUCAUUUUGUAAAUGUUGCUUCCACGCUCCACUUGGAGCUAUUCCAAAUGGUUGCCCCACUAUACGUAUCCGGUUUGCUACUAAGAGUCAUUCAGAUAGGUAUUAAAGCUUGCAUCGACGUAACCCUUUACGCCGAACUCUUUAUCACCUCCAUAAUCGAGAAACAUGUCCUUAUUUACUCCAAGGACAAUUUUGACCGUUGUCCAAUGAUCCAUUCCUGGAUCAUUCUUGUACCCCUUGACUGACUCAUGGCAAGGCACACUUCCGGUGCGGUCCACAGCAUAGCAUACUAUAGAGCCUACGUCAGAAGCAUAGGGGACGACCUUCGUCCUUUCUCUCUCUUCUGCCGUGGUCGAGCUUUAAGUCUUAACUUCAUACCUUACAACUCAGGCAAGAACUCCUUCUUUGACUGAUCCAUCUUGAACACCUUCAAGAUCAUGUCAAGGUAUGUGCUCAUUUGAAAGUACCAUUUAGCGGUUUUUUGAUCUAUCCUCAUAUAUCUUGAUGCUCAACGUUCAAGCAGCUUAAUCCAGGUUUUCUAUUGAAAAACACCUUUCAAACAACCCUAUAUGCUUUCCAGAAAUUCUACAUCAUUUCCAAUCAACAAUAUGUCAACAACAUAUACUCAUCAGAAAUUCUAUAGUGCUCCCACUCACUUCUUUGGAAAUACAAGUUUCUCAUAAACUUUGUAUAAACCCAAAAUCUUUGAUCAUCUCAUCAAAGCGUAUAUUCCAACUCCGAGAUGCUUACUCCAGUCCUUAGAAGGAUUGCUGGAGCUAUGCAUACUUGUUAGCACCUUUCAGGAUUGACAAAACCUUCUGGUUGUAUCACAUACAACCUUUCCUCAAGAAUAACGUCGAGGAAACAAUGUUUUGACAUCCUAUCUGCAAGAUUUCAUAAAUCAUGCAGUAAUUGCUAAUAUGAUUCCAACAGACUUUUAGCAUCGCUACAAAUGAGAAAGUCUCAUCGCAGUCAACUCCUUGAACUUGUCGGAAAACAUCUUAACGACAAGUCGAGCGUUCUUAAUGGUGACACUUACCAUCAUUGUCCGUCUUCCUUUUAAAAUCCAUAUGUACUCAACAGCCUUACUACCAUCAAGUAGUUAUUCCAAAGUCUACACUUUGUUUACAUACAUGGAUCCUCUCUCAGAUUUUAUGGCCUCGAGCCAUUUGUCGGAAUUCGGGCCCACCAUUGCUUCUCCAUAGCUCGUAGGUUCAUUGUUGUCUAGCAACAUGACCUCUAAGACAGGAUUGCGUACUACUCUGAAAUAGUACGCGUCCUUGUCGACCUACGAGGUUCGGUAGUGACUUGAUCCGAAGCAUCAUGAUCACUAUCACCAGCUUCCACUUCAAUUGGUGUAGGUGCCACAUGAACAACUCCAUGUGCCCUGCUACACACUGGUUGAAGUGAUGGUUCAUUAACCUCAUCAAGUCUCCACCAUCCUCCCACUCAAUUAUUUUGAGACAAACUUUUCCUCGAGAAAGGACCCGAUUCAAGAAACAAUCCCUAUUGCUUUCGGAUCUGAAUUAGAGGUAUAGCCAACUGUUUUGGGUGUCCUAUGAAGAUGCAUUUUUUCCGCUUUGGGUUCGAUCUUAUCAACCUGAAACUUUUUCACGUAAGCGUCGCAGCCCCAAAAUUUUAAGAAACGACAGCUUAGGUUUCUCUAAACCAUAGUUCAUACGGUGUCAUCUCAACGGAAUUAUGUGGUGCCCUAUUUAAAGUGAAUGUGGUUGUCUCUAAUGCCUAACCCAUGAACAAUAGUGGUAAUUCGUUAAGAGACAUCAUGGUAUGCACCAUAUCCAAUAGGGUGCAACUAUGAUGUUUGGACACACCAUCACUCUAUGGUGUUCUAGGCGGUAUUAAUUGUGAAACAAUUUUGUCUUAAUUGUGUGCCAAAUCUCGUAACUCAGAUACUCAUUGAGGGAGUCCUGGACAAGGGGGUGUCCGGAUAGCCGAACUAUCAUCAUCGGUUGGACUCCAAGACUAUGAAGAUACAAGAUUGAAGACUUCGUCCCGUGUCCGGAUGGGACUUUCCUUGGCGUGGAAGGCAAGCUUGGCGAUACGGAUAUGUAGAUCUCCUACCAUUGUAACCGACUCUGUGUAACCCUAGCCCUCUCCGGUGUCUAUAUAAACCGGAUGGUUUUAGUCCGUAGGACGAACAACAAUCAUACCAUAGGCUAGCUUCUAGGGUUUAGCCUCCUUGAUCUCGUGGUAGAUCUACUCUUGUAAUACCCACAUCAUCAAUGUCAAUCAAGCAGGACGUAGGGUUUUACCUCCAUCAAGAGGGCCCGGACCUGGGUAAAACAUCGUGUCCCUUGUCUCCUGUUACCAUCCGCCUAGACGCACAGUUCGGGACCCCCUACCCGAGAUCCACCGGUUUUGACACCGACAUUGGUGCUUUCAUUGAGAGUUCCUCUGUGUCAUCACCGAUAGGCUCGAUGGCUUCUUCGAUCAUCAACAAUGAUGCAGUCCAGGGUGAGACUUUUCUCCCCGGACAGAUCUUCGUAUUCGGCGGCUUUGCAUGGCGGGCCAAUUCGCUUGGCCAUCUGGAGCAGAUCGAAAGCUACGCCCUUGGCCGUCAGGUCAGAUUUGGAAGUUUGAACUUCACGACUGACAUCCGCGGAGACUUGAUCUUCGACGGAUUCGAGCCACAGCCGAGCGCGCCGCACUGUCAUGAUGGGCAUGAUUUAGCUCUACAGCCGGACAGUGCCCUGGAGGCCGCACACGAGUCCGCUCUGACCCUCAGUUCGGAGCCGGCUGCGCAGAUCGAGGACGGGUGGCUAGACACAGUCUCGGGAGCUGCAACCUCUAUGGCGAUGGAGCCGAAUACUGACCUUAUCCCUUGUGAAGCUCGUGACUCCGGGGUGCCGGACUCCUCGCCGGACUCCGAACCUCCCGCACCCCCUCCAAUCGAAUCCAAUUGGGCGCCGAUCAUGGAGUUCACCGCUGCGGACAUCUUUCAACACUCACCUUUCGGCGACAUCCUGAGUUCGCUAAAGUAUCUCUCAUUAUCAGGAGAGACCUGGCCGGACUGUGGUCAGGACGGUUGGGAUGCGGACGACAAAGAAAUUCAAGGCCCACCCACCACCCACUUAGUAGCCACUGUCAACGAUCUAACGGACAUGCUAGACUUCGACUCCGAAGACAUCGACGGUAUGGACGAUGAUGCCGGAGACGAUCAAGAACCAGCGCCUACUGGGCACUGGAAAGCCACCUCAACUCACGACGUAUGCAUGGUGGAUACACCAAAAGGAAGCGAUAACGAGGAACAACGGGACGUGGCGAAGGACAACUCCCCCGACAAACAACCAAAACGGCGACGCAAGCGCCGCCCGAAGUCUCGCCUCGAUAACAAUGGCACUCAUACUGACCCCGCCUUAGAGCAGGGAGAAGCAGCGGACGACGAACAUGCCACCAAGCAACCAUCCGAACAGGAUGAAUUGGACAAGCAACCCAUCCCCGGCGAAAACAACAGUCCAGACGAUCUCACGCCGGACACAUCACCGGAGCAUAAGAACCUUCAUAAAAGGCUCGUCGCCACUGCAAGAAGUUUGAAGAAUUAAAAGCGGAAGCUCAAAACAGCACAGGACGCACUCAGAAUGAGAUGGAGCAAAGUACUCAAUACCGCAGACAAAUACGGCGAUAGUCACCAGGCAAAGAGCUACCCGAAGCGCAAGCUGUUGCCCGAAUUUGACGAGGAGGCCGUAGAGCCCCCACGGUCAAAAAAUAAAGAAGCCGCCUGGCCGGAUAGACGACCAGAUGACAGGCUAAGAGCGGCAAGCGGCGCCACACACAAGCCGGCACACGAUCCACAUAAGGAUCCUCGCAAAAAGGAUGGCCCGGUUAGGUCCAUCUAUGGGCCAAAAAAGAAGACUCCAGGAAGCAACACAACCCGCCGAGUGUUUGAAGACAAUGGCACACCUAAAUACAGGGGCUCCGCACACCCACUAUGUUUCACCGAUAAGGUACUGGAUCGUGAAUUUCCAACGGGAUUCAAACCCGUAAACAUAGAGGCAUAUGACGGAACAAUAGACCCCGGAGUCUGGAUUGAGGAUUAUAUCCUACACAUACAUAUGGCCAGAGGAGACGAUCUCCAUGCCAUAAAAUACCUACCCCUCAAGCUCAAAGGGCCAGCUCGGCAUUGGCUCAAAAGCCUCCCAGAAAAUACCAUUGGAAGUUGGGAAGAGCUCGAGGAUGCGUUUUGAGCAAAUUUUCAGGGGACUUAUGUCCGCCCUCCGGAUGCAGACGAUUUAAGUCACAUAACUCAACAGCCCGGAGAGUCGGCAUGCAAAUUCUGGAACAGGUUCCUCACCAAAAAGAACCAAAUAGUCGACUGUCUGGACGCCGAAGCCUUAGCAGCCUUUAAGCAUAACGUCCGAGACGAAUGGCUCGCCAGACACCUCGGCCAGGAAAAACCAAGAACAAUGGCCGUGCUAACAAGCCUCAUGACCCGCUUUUGCGCGGGGGAAGAUAGCUGGCUGGCAAGAUGCAGCACCAGCGACCCGAGUACAUCCGAGGUCAGGGAUGGAAACAGAAAAUCACGACGCAGAAAAGAUCAGCGGCGGAAUAAGGAAAAUGGCCCAAAUAGCACGGCGGUCAACGCCGGGUUCAAAAGCUCUCGGCCGAAUAAUAAAACACUGCCUCUUAAGGACAACAGUGAUGAGCUAUCCAACCUAAACAAAAUCUUGGAUAGGAUAUGUCAAAUCCAUAGUACACCCGGGAAGCCUGCAAACCAUACCCACAGAGAUUGUUGGGUCUUCAAGCAGUCCGGCCGACUUAACGCCGAACACAAGGGGCUCGACACACCAAGCAAAGAUGACGACGAACCCCACAAGCAGCACGCCGGAAAACAGAAGACUUUCCCACUAGAAGUCAAAACAGUGAACUCACUUCAUGUGAUAACAAGGAAAAAUAGUGAGGCACCUGCUAAAACACGCGCCGCACGGUCCACCCCAGCAGAGUACCGAAAUUGGAUGUUUAAACCAAUUACUUUCGACCAUCAGGAUUACUCCGGAAGUGUUCAAAACGCAGGAGGGACCGCUUUGGUAUUGGAUCCCAUAAUCGACGGACUACAAUUCACACAAGUCCUAAUGGACGGCGGCAGUGAUAUAAACCUGCUAUACCAGGACACCAUCCGCAGAAUGGGGAUAGACCCUACCAAAAUUUGUCGUAGCAGCACUUCCUUCAAAGGAGUGACGCCAGGCCUUUACGCCAAUUCUACAGGCUCUGUACUACUAGAGGUUGUGUUCGGUUCAUCCGACAACCUCCGUCGCGAAAAGCUCAUCUUCCAUAUCGCCCCAUUCAAAAGUAGCCAUCAAGCACUACUGGGACGCGAAGCUUUCGCCCGCUUUAACGCAAUACCGCAUUACGCAUCUCUUACGCUUAAAAUGCCCGGUCCACGCGGCAUAAUCUCAUUAAAGGGUAACUCUGAGUGUUCCUCGACCACAUAAAAUAUGAGACUGCCUUGACAGCCACACACUGAUCCGACCUUGCUGGUCAAAGCCCCUAAAAACAGGUCAUUCACACCUCGGACACGGUUAGGCGAGUCUGGGUAAAUAAACAAGGGGCUUCCCAGCCGCAUACCUCUUGACAAGGGGUUGCACGUAUAAACGAUGAGAGCCAAUAAAGCUCAACUUUAUUCAUCUUCCAAAUCAUACUUUAUUUUAAAUACAUCUUUUGCACGAUAUUUUUUCCAAACUAAGUUCUUCUCUUUCACAGAUGAAGCACGUGCUACACCCGUCCAGGAUACAGCACAACAGAGACACAGGCGCAGACGUGCAGCAGGGACCCGUUGCAAGGAUUCUUUUCAGAUUAAGACCCUGCGUAAACCUUUCUUACUGUCUCUUGUUGAUACACAUCCCCCGGUUUCCUACCAUAACCGAGGAGGAGGCUGGCAUUUUGGCAUCGGUCGCGUCAGAAGUUCUCGCCCGUACCUGGACACUAGGGGCUUAGGGCAUUGUUCUGCCCGGUAUCAUAAAGACCGAAUACCUCAGGGAGUGUUCGGCGUCUCGAGUUAGGCCUUAUAUGCAUCAGCUCUGAAUCAUGUCUUUGGUCAAAUGUUGGGUUUGCCCGGCUCCUGUGUUUUGCUGCCUUACAUUCCGCUCCAUCGGCUAACGCGGCACCAGGAGAACAACUGCGAUUGUGCCCCGGUUCGGCCGGGCGAGCACCUCAGUAGAGAAAGCCGAAAAGUGACUGUCAUGAUAUAGCAAGAGACUGGUCAACCACUCAAUCGACUACUGGAAUGUUUAGAAUUCCUCCGCUUUGACGAAGUACCGCUUCCCGGUCAGGCACAUACGCGCCCCGAGUCCGGAGAGUGCGGUGCCUCUAGGGGCUAUAUAGUAACCCCACCAUCGAGCUCCUAUGGCUAAGUGAAAGUGAUAAAGCAUUAUAGUCCGGUUGCCUAGUUUGCUAUGCUAUCACCUCCUUCAAAGGACCAAGACGUUGGAUUAAGUGUGAAAAGCGCUUUUUUUCAAACACCCCCGCACCAUGUGCGUGGGGGCUGAAGCCAAAGACUGCCAUCUUUCAGGUUAUACAUACAUAUACGGCCGCACAGGAGAUAGUUCAAUACUUGAACGCAAAAGUAUAAAAAGCCGUUACAUCAUAAACAUGAUCUCAGAAAUCAUACAUGUCAUUUAAACAUAACAUCUUUCGAGCACUGCGACUCUAUUAAACGAGCGCCCCGCAGGACUUCCUCAAAAUAGUGCUCGGCGGGUAAUCGGCUUUUGUCUGAACCCCGGGAUGCAACAUCGGUGGCAUCCAUCUCCUCCCAGUAUGUCUUAACAUGGGCGAGAGCCAUCCGUGCACCCUCUAUGCAUGCCGACCGCUUCAUCGCCUCGAUAUGCGGCACCACCCCAAGGAAUUGCUGCAACAAGCCAAAAUAACUCUCAGGCUUGGGCCUUUCUGGCCACAGAUGAGCCACCACAUCCGUCAUGGCAAGUCCGAACAAUCUAUUCAGCUCAGCCCACUCAGCCAGCCGAUCAGUCAACGGAAGUGGAUGCUCCGGACUAUGGAAUUGAGACCAGAAAAGCUCUUCCAUUUCGUGAUCCUUCUGGCUUCGGAAGUGCACGACUGCGUCCGCCGCACUUGCCGCCAAAUCCAGAUAAGGACCCUCCGCACCCCACAAUUGGCCCAACUGAGCAUACUCCGGAUCCGUGAACUUCCUACGCAGUAGAAAGGGCUUUCCAGCCGCAAUGUCUCCGGCCUGACGCAGUUCCUCCUUCAUAGCCCGCAUCGCACAACAGGCAUCCUUGGCUUCGGCGGCGGCCUUCUUCAGGUCCUCUUGCUCCGCUCGGCGUUCUCUUUCAAGAACCUCAUAGCGGUCGGUAGCAUCUUUUAAUUUCACGGCCAUUCCGGCCAUCUCCUCCCUGCUUCGGCAGUGAGCAGCCUUUUCGGCUUUUAGCUCUUCCGCUGCCUUUAAGGCAGCCGCAUCACUUUUCCUGGCUUUCUCCUUGGCUCGAGCAAGCUCUGCUCGAAGGUCUUCCACAUCAACGGCACCAUCUGCAUCAAGCAUACAAAUUGUAAGGAACGGGCAUCAGCUCCCUUACUAGGUAACCGCGGAGAAACCAACUACCUUGUGACUCGUCAAGUCGUUUAUUGACCAGCGCGAUGUCCGCAUCCGCAACGUCGAGUUGCCGCUUCAGCUCGGCAACUCCAUCAGUCCGGCUGGCCACCAAACGUUCCACCACCUGCAUAGGAAAGGCGACAUUCUAUAACUGAGAUUAUGAUCCUCGGCACGUUGUCGCUUUCGACAGCAUACCAAGUCUCAGGGGCUACUAUCUAUACAGGGCGCACUCCAUGUGCAAAACUAUCAAAAGGUAUGUCAUUUUUUGCGUACCUCAAACCCCGUCAGAAAACUUCCGACGGCCUCAUGCAACCCGCUCUCGGCGGAUGAGAUCCUUUCAAUCACCAUACUCAUUAAUGUGCGGUGAUCUUCUGAGAUAGACGCCCUCUCAAGCAAAUCCUGCAGCUCCAUCGGUCGUACUCCAGUGGGUGCCGAACUCCCCGGCCCCGCCGGACUCGGGGAGACCCUCCGUGACGACACCUCAGGGUCGUCCACCCUGCCCGACGGAGUGGCAGAUGGAGGCGUUUCACUCUCCAUCAUCUACGGAUGAAGAUCCCCCGAAGAUGAGCUCUGCUGAGAAGGGCUGAGAUCCGAACUACAAGGUGAAAACUUCGGUUACCCGUAGAAAUAAAGUAGGGAUGUCCCCUAUUACAAAAUUCCCCCUUUUUACUUACGGCUCGUUGGAGGGCUGAUUCCUUUGGGGAGACUGUGCGGCCGGGGCUCUUCCCGGCACAGGACCUUCCGGUGCAGAUUUCUUUCCCCGCUUUGAGGCCUUGGCCUCCGGGUCUUCAGAAGCGGUCGUCUUCUCCCCCUGGAGGGAGGGAUUCUCGAUUCCCCCCUUACUGAAAGCCUCCUUGGCAGAGGUGGUAGUUUCCCUGUGCCCCCCUUUGCCCUCCUCCGAAGGUGCAACCUCCAUCAUUUUGAUUAACACGGGAUCCAACGUGGUCUCAGGGAGGGGGGCCGGACACCGUAUCAGUUUUGCUUGCGCUAUCCACUCCUGCCCAAGGGAUAGCUGGUUAAAAGGCAAAUCCAUGAUAAAUAAAUGGACAAUGUGUCCGGACACAGGGCUACUUACUUGAGUAUCCAGGCGAUUGCAGCUUAGGCCAGCGUCCUCGGUCAAGUCCGGACGCAUCUCUUGUGAUCCGAAGAACAGUUUGUACAUCUCCACGGGUGUCAAACCCAUGAAGUGUUGGAGAGCUCGUGGUCCCUCCGGAUUAAAUUCUCACAGGCGGAGGGGGCGACGUUUGCAGGGCAGAAGGCGCCGAAUCAGCAUAACCUGUAUCACUACGACCAGAUUGAUCUCCCUUUCUUGGAGGUCUCGAAUCCGGCCCUGCAAUAGGGGUACAUCUUUGGACGACCCUCAGUCAAGCCCUUUGUUGACCCAUGACGUCAGCCGUUGUGGAGGGCCUAGGCGAAAGGCGGGCGGCGGCCUCUUCCUGCUUCCCCUGGGAGCGGUGAUAUAGAACCACUCCUGUUGCCACAAGCCGAGCUCCUCCUGAAAAGAGCCCUCGGGCCAUGGAGCAUCGACCCUCUUGCUUAUAACCGCCCCGCCGCACUCUGCCUGACGCCCCUCAAUCAUCUUCGGCUCCACGUUGAAGGUUUUGAGCCACAAGCCGAAGUGAGGGGUAGUGCAGAGGAAGGCUUCGCAGACGACAAUGAAUGAUGAGAUGAGGAGGAUGGACUCCGGAGCCAAGUCAUGGAAUUCCAACCCAUAGUAAAACAUGAGCCCCCUCAUGAAGGGAUCCAUCGGGAAGCCUAAGCCCCGACGGAGGUGAGACACAAACACGACACUCUCGCCGGGCUCGGGAGUAGGAAUAUUUGCCCUUGGGCAGGCAGCCUAUGCGAAAUCUCGUAGGUUAAGUACCUGGCGUCUCUCAGCUUUAGCACGUCCUCUUCCGUGAUGGAGGAGGGCAUCCACCGGCCUCGUAGGUCGGAGCCGGACAUUGUCGAAGGUCGAAAGUACCCGAAUCUGGAGCCCUGGGUGUUGGAACUUGGGGCAAGGGGCGGAUUCGAUUAAGGAUUGAAGAAAAAGAACGGGCCUUGGUCUCAUUAUAAAGAGGGAGAAUACCAAGAGCCAACCCCGUGACCGUUUGGAACCCGCCUUCGAUGGAGGGGGCGUGGCAACGAGCGCGGUUGGGUUACCCACGUUCGUAUUAAUGGGAAUCCCGAAAUAAGGGGAACACGAUCUCUGCUUCGACAAGACGUGCCAAGGAAACUGCUUCGCUAAACGCGCGGAGGUGGUAUAAUAAAAACGAUUCGAGUAAAGGCUUGGUUGUGGUGUGACGUCACGCCACAAAAUACGUCAGCAGAUUGAACUUGUGUAAAUAUUAUUCUCUCUACGGUGGUAUGUGGAAUUUAUUUUGCGGAGCCGGACACUAUCCUGGUGUUCACAAUCUUCUAUAAAUUGUUCGGAGGAGGAACCCGCCUUGCAAUGCCGAAGACAAUAUGCGCGCUGGACUCGUCGUCAUUGAAGCCUGGUUCAGGGGCUACUGAGGGAGUCCUGGACUAGGGGGUGUCCGGAUAGCCGAACUAUCAUCAUCGGCCGGACUCCAAGACUAUGAAGAUACAAGAUUGAAGACUUCGUCCCGUGUCCGAAUGGGACUUUCCUUGGCGUGGAAGGCAAGCUUGGCGAUACGGAUAUGUAGAUCUCUACCAUUGUAACCGACUCUGUGUAACCCUAGCCCUCUCUGGUGUCUAUAUAAACCGGAUGGUUUUAGUCCGUAGGACGAAAAACAAUCAUACCAUAGGCUAGCUUCUAGGGUUUAGCCUCCUUGAUCUCGUGGUAGAUCUACUCUUGUAAUACCCACAUCAUCAAUAUCAAUCAAGCAGGACGUAGGGUUUUACCUCCAUCAAGAGGGCCCAAACUUGGGUAAAACAUCGUGUCCCUUGUCUCCUGUUACCAUCCGCCUAGACGCACAGUUCGGGACCCCCUACCUGAGAUCCGCUGGUUUUGACACCGACACUCAUCUCUAUGAUCAUAGACAUUUUAUCCUCUUGUCACGAUGACCUUCAACUUCACUCUGAAAUUACUUGAACCAUUCAAUAAUUUAGACUUGUGUUUCAUCAAGUAAAUAUACAACAUCUACUCAAAUCAUCUGUGAAGUAAGAACAUAAUGAUAUCCACUGCGUGCCUCAGCACUCAUUGGACAGCACACAUCAAAAUGUAUUACUUCCAACUAGUUGCUCUCUUGUUCCAUCUUACUAAAAAUGAGGCUUUUCAGUCAUCUUGCCCAUGUGGUAUGAUUUGCAUGUCUCAAGUGAUUUAGAAUCAAGUGAGUCCAAACGAUCCAUCUGCAUGGAGUUUCUUCAUGCGUACAUACCAAUAGACAUGGUUCGCAUGUCUCAAACUUUUCAAAAAACAAGUGAGUCCAAAGACCCAUCAACAUGGAGCUUCUUCAUGCGUUUUAUACCACUAUGACUUACAUGGCAGUGCCACAAGUAGGUGGUACUAUCAUUACUAUCUUAUAUCUUUUGGCAUGAACAUGUGUAUCAUUACGAUCGAGAUUCAAUAAACCAUUCAUUUUAGGUGCAAGAACAUUGAAGGUAUUAUUCAAAUAAACAGAGUAACCAUUAUUCUCCUUAAAUGAAUAACCAUAUUGCGAUAGACAUAAUCCAAUCAUGUCUAUGCUCAACGCAAACACCAAAUAACAAUUAUUUAGGUUUAACACCAAUCUCGAUGGUAGAGGGAGCGUGCGAUGCUUGAUCACAUCAACCUUGGAAACACUUCCAACACAUACCGUCAGCUCACCUUUAGCUAGUCUCCGUUUAUUCCGUAGCUUUUAUUUCGAGUUACAAACACUUAGCAACCGAACCGGUAUCUAAUACUCUGGUGCUACUAGGAGUACUAGUAAAGUACACAUUAACAUCAUGUAUAUCCAAUAUACUUCCGUCGACCUUGCCUGCCUUCUUAUCUACCAAGUAUCUAGGGUGGUUCUGCUUUAGUGUCCGUUCCUCUCAUUACAGAAGCACUUAGUCUCGGGUUUGGGUUCAACCUUGGGUUUUCACUAGAGCAGCAACUGUUUUGCCGUUUCAUGAAGUAUCCCUUCUUGCCCUUGCCCUUCUUGAAACUAGUGGUUUUACUAACCAUCAACAAUUGAUGCUCCUACUUGACUUCUACUUUCGCGGUGUCAAACAUCGCGAAUACUUUAAGGAUCAUCAUAUCUAUCCCUGAUAUGUUAUAGUUCAUCACGAAGCUCGAGUAGCUUGGUGGCAAUGACUUUGGAGAAACAUCACUAUCUCAUCUGGAAGAUUAACUCCCACUCAAUUCAAGUGAUUGUUGUACUCAGACAAUCUGAGCACAAGCUCAACGAUUGAGCUUUUCUCCCUUAGUUUGCAGGCUAAGAAAAUCGUCGGAGGUCUUAUACCUCUUGACGUGGGCACGAGCUUGAAAUCCCAAUUUCAGCCCUCGAAACAUCUCAUAUGUUCCGCGACGUUUUGAAAACGUCUUCGGUGCCUCAAUUCUAAACCAUUUAACAUUACUGAACUAUCACGUAGUUAUCAAAACGUGUAUGUCAAAUGUUCGCAACAUCCACAGACGACAAUUGAGGUUCAGCAUACCAAGCGGUGCAUUAAGGACAUAAGCCUUCUACGCGGCAAUGAGGACAAUCCUCAGUUUAUGGACUCAGUCCGCAUAAUUUCUACUAUCAACUUUCAACUAAAUUUUCUCUAGGAACAUAUUUAAAACAGUAGAACUAAAGCGCGAGCUACGACAUAAUUUGCAAGAAUCUUUGGACUAUGUUCAGGAUAAUUAAGUUCAUCUUAUGAACUCCCACUCAGAUAGACAUCCCUCUAGUCAUCUAAGUGAUUACAUGAUCCGAGUCAACUAGGCCGUGUCCGAUCAUCAUAUGAGACGGACUAGUCAUCAUCGGUUAACAUCUUCAUGUUGAUCGUAUCUACUAUAUGACUCAUGCUCGACCUUUCGGUCUCUUGUGUUCCGAGGCCAUGUCUGUACAUGCUAGGCUCGUCAAGUCAACCUAAGUGUUUCGCGUGUGUAAAUCUGGCUUACACCCGUUGUAUGUAAACGUUAGAAUCUAUCACACCCGAUCAUCACGUGGUGCUUCGAAACAACGAACUUUCGCAACGGUGCACAAUUAGGGGGAACACUUUCUUGAAAUUAUUAUGAGGGAUCAUCUUAUUUACUACCGUCGUUCUAAGCAAAUAAGAUGCAUAUACAUGAUAAACAUCACAUGCAAUCAAAAAGUGACAUGAUAUGGCCAAUAUCAUUUUGCUCCUUCUGAUCUCCAUCUUCGGGGCUCCAUGAUCAUCAUCGUCACCGGCAUGACACCAUGAUCUCCAUCAUCAUGUCUCCAUGAAGUUGUCUCGCCAACUAUUACUUCUACUACUAUGGCUAACGGUUUAGCAAUGAAGUAAAGUAAUUACAUGGCGUUAUUCAGUGACACACAGGUCAUACAAUAAAUAAAGACAACUCCUUUGGCUCCUGCCGGUUGUCAUACUCAUCGACAUGCAAGUCGUGAUUCCUAUUACAAGAACAUGAUCAAUCUCAUACAUCACAUAUCAUUCAUCACAUUCUUUUGGCCAUAUCACAUCACAUAGCAUACCCUGCAAAAACAAGUUAGACGUCCUCUAAUUGUUGUUUGCAUGUUUUACGUGGCUGCUAUGGGUUUCUAGCAAGAACGUUUCUUACCUACGCAAAAGCCACAACGUGAUAUGCCAAUUGCUAUUUACCCUUCAUAAGGACCCUUUUCAUCGAAUCCGAUCCGACUAAAGUGGGAGAGACUGGCAUCCUCUAGCCACCUUAUGCAACAAGAGCAUGUCAGGCGGUGGAACCUGUCUCACGUAAGAGUACGUGUAAGGUCGGUCCAGGCCGCUUCAUCCUACAAUACCGUCGAAACAAGAUUGGACUAGUAACGGUAAGCAUAUUGAACAAAAUCAACGCCCACAACUACUUUGUGUUUUACUCGUGCAGAGAAUCUACGCAAUAGACCUAGCUCAUGAUGCCAAUGUUAGGGAACGUAGCAUAAAUUCAAAAUUUUCUAUGCAUCACCAAGAUCUAUCUAUGGAGAGACUAGCAACGAGAGAGAGGAGAGUGCAUCUACAUACCCUUGUAGAUCGCUAAGAGGAAGCGUUCGAGAGAACGGGGUUGAAGGAGUCGUACUCGUCGUGAUGCAAAUCACCGGAGAUCCUAGUGCCGAACCGACGGCACCUCCGCGUUCAACACACGUGCAGCCCGGUGACGUCUCUCGUGCCUUGAUCCAGCAAGGAGAGAGGGAGAGGUUGGGGAAGACUCCGUCCAGUAGCAGCACAACAGCGUGGUGGUGAUGGAGGAGCGUGGUACUCCAGCAGGGCUUCGCCAAGCACCGCAAGAGACGAGGAGGGAGAGGGGCAGGGCUGCGCCAAGAGGGAAAGGUUCUCAUGUGUAUGGCAGCCCCAAACCCUCCACUAUAUAUAGGGGCAAGGGGGAGGGGGAGGCUCCCUAGGGUUUCCCCUAGGGGGGCGGCGGCCAGGGCAGAUGGGAUCUCCACUUUGGGUGAAUUGGCCCCCAAGCCAGGAGGUGGGAACUCUAGAUGGGGCGCCCCAAACCCCCUGGUCACGUGGGAAUAGGUGAGGGGGGCGCACAGCCCCUUAGUGGGCUGGUUUGCCCCCUUCCCUUGGCCCAUGAAGCCCCCCAACACUUGACGGGGCUCCCGAAACACCUUUCGGUCAUGCUGGUCAUCACCCGGUACCUCCGGAACACUUUCAGACUCCAAAACCCUUCGUCCAAUAUAUCAAUCUUCACCUCCGGACCAUUCCGGGACUCCUCGUGACGUCCGGGAUCUCAUCCGGGACUCCGAACAACAUUCGGUAACCACAUAUAUCUAUUCCCUAUAACCCUAGCGUCAUCGAGCCUUAAGUGUGUAGACCCUACGGGUUCGGGAACCAUGCAGACAUGACCGAGACGACUCUCUGGUCAAUAACCAACAGCGGGAUAUGGAUACCCAUGUUGGCUUCCACAUGUUCCACGAUGAUCUCAUCGGAUGAACCACGAUGUCGAGGAUUCAAUCAAUCCCGUAUACAAUUCCCUUUGUCUAGGGGUAUUGUACUUGCCCGAGAUUCGAUCGUCGGUAUGCCGAUACCUUGUUCAAUCUCGUUACCGACAAGUCUCUUUACUCGUUCCGUAACACAUCAUCCCGUGAUCAACCCCUUGGUCACAUUGUGCACAUUAUGAUGAUGUCCUACCGAGUGGGCCCAGAGAUACCUCUCCGUCACACGGCGUGACAAAUCCCAGUCUCGAUUCGUGCCAACCCAACAGAUACUUUCAGAGAUACCCGUAGUGAACCUUAAUAGCCACCCAGUUAUGUUGUGACGUUUGGUACACCCAAAGCAUUCCUACGGUAUCCGGGAGUUGCACAAUCUCAUGGUCUAAGGAAAUGAUACUUGACAUUAGAAAAGCUUUAGCAUACGAACUACACGAUCUAUGUGCUAGGCUUAGGAUUGGGUCUUGUCCAUCACAUCAUUCUCCUAAUGAUAUGAUCCCGUUAUCAACGACAUCCAAUGUCCAUGGUCAGGAAACCGUAACCAUCUAUUGAUCAACGAGCUAGUCAACUAGAGGCUUACUAGGGACAUGGUGUUGUCUAUUUACCCACACAUGUAUCUGAGUUUCCUAUCAAUACAAUUAUAGCAUGGAUAAUAAACGAUUAUCACGAACAAGGAAAUAUAAUAAUAACUAAUUUAUUAUUGCCUCUAGAGCAUAUUUCCAACAGGAUGGUGGGAACACCAGCUCGAAAGUGACAAGACAUUGCGCCACAUCACUCCUUAGUCUUGGUAUGAUUUCUGGAUCGAUCACCUUCUCAGAGAUUGCAUUAAGGAAUGCGCAUAGCUUCACAAUGGCUAAUCAGACGUUUUCCGGUAGAAGCCCCCUCAAUGCAACUGGAAGCAGUUGCAUCAUAAUCACGUAACAGUCAUGAGACUUUAGGUUCUGAAACUUUUUCUCUGGCAUAUUUAUUAUUCCUUUUAUAUUCGACGAGAAGCCAAACGGGACCUUCAUACUGAGCAGGCAUUCAAAGAAGAUUUCCUUCUCUUCUUUGGUAAGAGCGUAGCUGGCAGGACCUUCAUACUGCUUUGGAGGCAUGCCAUCUUUUUUGUGCAAAUGGUGCAGGUCCUCCCGUGCCUCCGGUGUAUCUUUUGUCUUCCCAUACACUCCCCAAAAGCCUAGCAGGUCCACGCAAAGGUUCUUCGUCAUGUGCAACACGUUGAUUGAAGAGCGGACAUCUAGGUCUUUCUAGUAGGGUAGGUCCCAAAAUAUAGAGUUUUUCUUCCACAUGGGCGCGUGACCCUUAGUGUCAUUCGGAACAGAUAGUCCGCCGCGACCCUUUCCAAAGAUUACGUGUAAAUCAUUGACCAUAGCAAGUACGUGAUCACCUGUACGCAUGGCGGGCUUCUUCCGGUGAUCGGCCUCGCCUUUGAAAUGCUUGCCUUUCUUUCGACAUUGAUGGUUGGUCGGAAGAAAUCGACGAUGGCCCAGGUACACAUUCUUCCUGCAUUUGUCCAGGUAUAUACUUUCGGUGUCAUAUAAACAGUGCGUGCAUGCGCGGCAUCCCUUGUUUGUCUAUCCUGAAAGGUUACUGAGAGCGGGCCAAUCGUUGAUGAUUACAAACAGCAACGCGUGCAGGUUAAAUUCCUCCUGUUUGUGCUCAUCCCACACACGUACACCGUUUCCAUUCCACAGCUGUAAAAGUUCUUCAACUAAUGGCCUUAGGUACACAUCAAUGUCGUUGCCGGGUUGCCUAGGGCCUUGGAUGACAACUGGCAUCAUAAUGAACUUACGCUUCAUGCACAUCCAAGGAGGAAGGUUAUACAUACAUAGAGUCACGGGCCAGGUGCUGUGAUUGCUGCUCUGCUCCCCGAAAGGAUUAAUGCCAUUCGCGCUUAAACCAAACCAUACAUUCCUUGGGUCACCUGCAAACUCAGCCUGGUACUUUCUCUCAAUUUUUCUCCACUGCGACCCGUCAUCGGGUGCUCUCAACUUCACGUGUUUCUUAUGGUCCUCACUGUGCCAUCACAUCAACUUGGCAUGCUCUUUGUUUCUGAACAGGUGUUUCAACUGUGGUAUUAUAGGAGCAUACCACAUCACCUUGGCAGGAACCCUCUUCCUGGGGCGCUCGCCGUCAACAUCACCAGGGUCAUCUCGUCUGAUCUUAUACUACAAUGCACCGCAUACCGGGCAUGCGUUUAAAUCCUCGUACACACCACGCUACAGGAUGCAGUCAUUAGGGCAUGCAUGUAUCUUCUGCACCUCCAAUCCUAGAGGGCAUACAACCUUCUUUGCUGCAUACGUACUGUCGGGCAAUUCGUUAUCCUUUGGAAGCUUCUUCUUCAAUAUUUUCAGUAGCUUCUCAAAUCCUUUGUCAGGCACACCAUUCUCUGCCUUCCACUGCAGCAAUUCUAGUAUGGUACCGAGCUUUGUGUUGCCAUCUUCGCAAUUGGGGUACAAACCUUUUUUGUGAUCCUGUAACAUGCGAUCGAAAUUGAGCUUAUCCUUUUGAAUUUCGCACUGUCUCCUUGCAUCAACAAUGACCCGACGGAGAUCAUCAUCGGGCACAUCGUCUGGUUCCUCUUGAUCUUCAGCAGCUUCCCCCGUUGCAGCAUCACCGUAUUCAGGGGGCACAUAGUUUUCAUCGUCCUCUUCUUCUUUGCUGUCUUCCAUCAUAACCCCUAUUUCUCCAUGCUUGGUCCAAAUAUUAUAGAGUGUCAUGAAACCCUUAUAAAGUAGGUGGGUGUGAAUGGUUUUCGAGUCAGAGUAAGACUUCGUAUUCUCACAUAUAGGGCAUGGACAACACAUAAAACCAUUCUGCUUGUUUGCCUCAGGCACUUCGAGAAAAUUAUGCACACCCUUAAUGUACUCGGAGGUGUGUCUGUCACCGUACAUCCAUUGCCGGUUCUUCUGCGUGCAUUAUAUAUAAUUAAGUGUGUCAAAAACCAUUACAGAACAUCAUGAAUAGAUAAUUAAGUGACCAAAUUAAUAGAAGUUCAUCAUCACAUUAAAACCAAAGUACAUACAUAGUUCUCAUCUAACAACAUAUAGCUCUCCAGAGCAUCUAAUUAAUUAAACCAUACAUUGAAACUAUGUAAAACAUUUCAAUGCGAAAACAAAUGCGAUCAUAAUGGCAACCAAGGUAACAAUUGAUCCAACAGCAUAAUGAUACCAAGCCUCAGUAUGAAUGACAUAUUUUCUAAUCUUUCUAAUCUUCAAGCGCAUUGCAUCCAUCUUGAUCUUGUGAUCAUCGACGACAUCCGCAACAUGCAACUCCAAUAUCAUCUUCUCCUCCUCAAUUUUUUUAAUUUUUCCUUCAAGAAAUUGUUUUCUUCUUCAACUAAAUUUAACCUCUCGACAAUAGGGUCGGUUGGAAUUUCUAGUUCACAUACCUCCUAGAUAAAUAAAAUCCAUGUCACGUUGGUCGGUGAUAACCCACAAGUGUAGGGGAUCGCAACAGCUUUCGAGGGUAGUGUAUUCAACCCAAAUUUAUUGAUUCGACACAAGGGGAGCCAAAGAAUAUUCUUAAGUAUUAGCAGUUGAGUUGUCAAUUCAACCACACCUGGAUAACUUAGUAUCUGCAGUAAGGUAUUUAGUAGCAAAGUAAUAUGAUAGUAAUGGUAACAGUGGAAAAAGUAAAGAUAGCAGUAUUUUAAUGAUUGUAACUAUAGCAACAGAAAAGUAAAUAAGCGAAGCACAAUAUGUGAAAAGCUCGUAGGCAUUGGAUCAGUGAUGGAUAAUUAUGUCGGAUGCGAUUCCUCAUGUAAUAGUUAUAACAUAGGGUGACACAGAACUAGCUCCAGUUCAUCAAUGUAAUGUAGGCAUGUAUUCUGAAUAUAGUCAUACGUGCUUAUGGAAAAGAACUUGCAUGACAUCUUUUGUCCUACCCUCCCAUUUGCAGCGGGGUCCUAGUGGAAACUAAGGGAUAUUAAGGCCUCCUUUUAAUAGAGUACCGGGCCAAAGCAUUAACACAUAGUGAAUACAUGAACUCCUCAAACUACGGUCAUCACCGAGAAGUAUCCCGAUUAUUGUCACUUCGGAGUUGUCGGAUCAUAACACAUAAUAGGUGACUAUAGACUUGCAAGAUAGGAUCAAGAACUCACAUAUAUUCAUGAAAACAUAAUAGGUUCAGAUCUGAAAUCAUGGCACUCGGGCCCUAGUGACAAGCAUUAAGCAUAGCAAAGUCAUAGCAACAUCAAUCUCAGAACAUAGUGGAUACUAGGGAUCAAAUCCUAACAAAACUAACUCGAUUAUAUGGUAAAUCUCAUCUAACACAUCACCAUCCAGCAAGCCUACGAUGGAAUUACUCACGCACGGCGGUGAGCAUCAUGAAAUUGGUGAUGGAGGAUGCUUGAUGAUGGCGACGGCGACGAAUCCCCCUCCCCGGAGCCCCGAACGGACUCCAGAUCAGCCCUCCCAAGAGAGAUUAGGGCUUGGCGGCGGCUCCAUAUCGUAAAACGCAAUGAAACUUCCUCUCUGAUUUUUCUCUCUCCACGAAACAGAAUAUAUGGAGUUGGUGUUAAGGUCAGUGGAGCAUCAGGGGGCCCACGAGACAGGGGGCGUGCCCCCCACCCUCGUGGACAGGGUGUGGGCCUCCUGGCCUUCAUCUUUUGCCAGUAUUUUUUAUAUUUUCCAAAAGUUAUCUCCGUGGAUUUUCAGGUCAUUCCGAGAAAUUUUGUUUUCUGCACAAUAAACAACACCAUGGCCGUUCUGCUGAAAACAGCGUUAGUCCGGGUUAGUUUCAUUCAAAUCAUGCAAGUUAGAGUCUAAAACAAGGGGAAAAAGUGUUUGGAAAAGUAGAUACAUUGGAGACGUAUCAGUCAGCAUAAUUGUCAUAAACAAUAAAUGAACCAAAUAGUUAUAAAGAUAAUAUAUACCACAUCCGAAUCAUAGACAUGAUGAGGGCAUACCAAAACAAUCGCACUAAAUAAUAAGAAGCAAUAAUAAAAGUAAGAAAAUUAUACAAGUAUCUAUCUAAACAUACAAAUAAGAUUUAUUUUUCUUUCAGAAAGAAGAUAAGAACAAGAGGCUCACCACAGUGGUGCCGGCGAAGAGAUCGGCGUGGGCGAUCGACAACGGUGAACACGGGGACGGGACGUGACGGACCGCUAAACCUAGACAAAAUAUUGAGGAAAUUGGAGCUUAGAGGUCGAGCUUGGAGAGGAGAAAGAUUAAGUAGUGUGGCUCGGGCAUUCCAUCGAACACCUCAUGUGCAUAAGAGGUGAGCUAGAGCACCAUAAAGCUCUCUAAUAGCUGGCCAGAAAAACAGAGCAGUGGGGUGCUCUGCUCGCGGGCGAGGGGGUACAUAUAGGCAACUCAUUGGUCCUGGUUCGUGGCUGGAACCGGGACUAAAGACCACCCUUUGGUCCCGGUUCAGGCCACCAACCGGGACCAAAUGGUGGUGGGACAUGAUCGAGGCCCAUUGGUCUCGGUUCGUCCCACCAACCGGGACCAAAGGGGGCAGACGAAUCGGGACCAAUGCCCCCACGAGGCCCGGCAGGCCCCCUGGCCUCACGAAUCGGGACCAAUGCCCUCAUGGGUCCCGGUUCGUGACUGAACCGGGACUAAUGGGCUUACCUGGCCCGAACGAAAGCCCUGUUUUCUACUAGUGAUACUAGAGAUUUGAGUGCCGACAUCAGUGGCGGAGUCAGCACUCAGCGACCCGGGGCAGCCGCCUGGGAUCGCCGCUGCUGCUAGCUUGAGUGAAGCCUUUGGCGGCAAGCACGUCCUACGCGUUGAACAAUAGUGAAGCCAAGAUCAUGCACAUGACAACCAUGGUUCUGAAAGCCAUGGAACGAACUGAUGAAUGCAGUGCCAAACCAAGUGCCUGCACAUGCAUAUUUUACAUCCUACCGUGAUGGUGUGUAGCAGCCUAGCAGGCGCAGGUCAAUAUGUAGUGUAGACCGGUCAGACAUUUAGAAAUGUCGUCAAAUUUGUUCACUGAGAAAUGAGAAUGCUUGGGUUUGUCGCCUCCAGCGUCAGAUUGUGCAAAGUUCAUCGCAUCAGCUAAUCGUUCCAGCAGAUUGUGCAAAGUUUGUCAUAUCAACUGAUUGUUCCAGCAAGUCUUUCAAAGUCAGGGUUCCAGUUCCACCAUUGUUGGUCUACUGUCUACUAUCGCAUGACCAAUAGGAGGUUUGGUUAGUCCAAGAAUUGAGGGUAACACAUCUCAGUCAGGCAUUGUUUUCUUUUACAGCAAGGCACCUCAGUCAGACAUCGUAGAUGCCGAAAGCUAAUUUGGAAUCCCAAACAGCCAGAGGAAAAAGAGUAAACAACAGUCCAAGCCAAUUGUACAAAAUCCAUCGGAUCAACAACGCGUGUGAGUCGGCUACUUUUACUUAUUAUAGAUCCUUCAAUCCUCAGGCGUGACAGAUUGCUAGUGCAUCGCGCUCAGGAUCUCGUUUGCCGAACUGGUGUGAUAUGUGUUGAAUACUUGAUAAGACAAGUUUGUUUGCCUCAGAUUCUACUAGCUCCAUCGUGGUCUGUGUGGAUGUGAAUCCAGAGUUGACAAAAUCUGGGGCACUGACAUAGCAACAGAUACAACGAUCUCUGUGAAACAGCGUGGAAAUAUGUCAAGCAUCUUUCAUGUGUUUUCAAGCAGAUUAUUGAAUAAGAUACCUAUAGGAGAAUUUAGGAAUUACCAAUGCCUUCACGCACAGAAAGAUUAGGCCUUAUGACAUCCUUUGAGUUCACCACGAAAGAUACAUAGUAAAUGUCCUCUUGACCAGAAUAGCUCUGUUAUAAUAACAUAAUGACGGGAUAUUAUACAUUGAGAUGAGGCAAAGCUACACCUUAAUGAGAACGAACAAUAGAAAUGUUCAUUUGAAGUAUUUUGUAAGCAUUCCUUUCCAUCCUGUACAAGGCGAACUAGUCAAAUUUGUUGAUGCAGAAAGCUAAGUGGUACUCCGAACAUUCAGAAGAACAAAAUUAAACAAUAGUAAAAAAAAUACAAUUACAACUACAAAGUAUCUAUGGUGGUGCAAAGUAUAAGCCAAUUAUACAAAUUGCAUCAGAUAAGCAAUGCGUGUGAGUCACCUACUUCUACUUAAUUGCACAUCCUUUUGAUCCUCGGACGCGACAAAUCGCUAAUACAUUGUGUUCAUGAUCUUGUUUGGCCCAAUCGUGUGGUAUGUGUUCAAAGUUCUAUUUGUUAUUGAUGAACAAAUAUGCAACUAGCUUUCCCUGGUUUCUGUUCGUUCUCCUAUGACAUGCUUGGAUUGUAUGUGGAUGUUGGUCUAGGGUUGACAAAAUCCAAGGCAUCGACAUAGCACCAUAUACAACAAUCCUUGCGAAACAUCGUAGAAAUAUGUCAACGCCUUUUUCACAUGAUUCUAAAGCAAAUUAUCAAAUAAGGUACCGAGAUGAGAGUUUAUGAAGGAGUGUCCGAGACCUUUGUGGUGUGUGCCUCUCAGGUGUGUAGCAAUGUUAGCACAAAAAGAUUCAACUAAUGUGGCUGAGGCAUACACAGGCCAAGAAACCAUACAGAAUGAGGCUACGGUGAUUUAUGAUAUUGUGUGGCAUUAGCUGGACUUAUCGGGGAGGUGGAGUUCAUCGUUACCAAGGGAACUGAAUGGAGCGGCACCCAUGAUUGUCAAGUCUUGCUUUUAUAAUCAACUUUCGUGUAAUAGAGUUGAUGAACCACCUAGUAUUUGAUAUCAAUAAAGCUAGCAGUGAUGAUCUUCCCUAAGAAAAAGACUCUGGACGUUCUUGGUGGAUGAGAGACAAUGAAAGCCGGUGUGCUUUUUAACAUUUAUUAAGAGGAGCUUACCUUAUCUCUAGAAACUUCAUGUGUGGUAACUUGUUACAAGGUAGUAAGAUUUCAACUUUUGUAAGCCACAUAGUACUAUACACCACUCUAUGUGAAAAUCUGAAUUAGUAGCUAUGCGGAUACUUUUGGUACGACGAGUAAAGCCGCACCUACUAGUUACAUUUGUAUAUGUUUGCUCUUUAUAAAUACAAUAAGAUGUGAGUGGUGACAUGACCCUGUAGCCAGGCAAACAAAUAUAGAUUGGUUCCUUGUUUGCUCGUCCAACUUCAUAUAUUUGAGUAAACAAAACUUUGCCGCAAUUGCUAUUCUGAAGCUUUAGGAAUGAGCGGCAUUGGGAAAAAUAAUUCAACUGGUGAAGCAAUACUCAAUGCACAAACUGAAAUAAUAGCUACCCGGAACAGUUUUGGUACAACGGGUAUACUCAGACACACUAGUUCAUCAGGAUAGCCUUGUCCCAUUUACGUAUGCUAAAGAUUUAAGUGCUGGCAUCAGUGGCGGAGCCAGUUCCCGGCGACCCGAGCCAGCUGGUUGGGCUCACCGCUGCCGCUGGUUUGAGCCAAGUCUCUGGCAGCAACCAGCAUAUUUUUAGUCCUACCAAGCUGGUGUGUAGCAGGAGCAGCUCAGUGUAGCUUAGACCAGUAAACGAAACCACACAACGAAACAAUAGAAAUGUCGUCAAAUGUAUCCGUGGAGAAAUAAGAAUGCUUGGGUUGGUCGCCACCAGCGUAUUGUGCAGAGUUGAUCACAUCAGCUAAUUGUUCCAGCAGAUUGUGUAAAGUUUAUCAUACCACUAUUGUUCCAGCAGGUGUUUCAAAGUCAAGGUUCCAGUCCCACCAUUGUUGGUCCAGUGUCUACUAUCACCUGAUCUAGGAGGUUAAUUAGUCCAAGAAUUCAAGGUAAGACAACUCAGGCAGGCAUCGUUUUCUUUUACAGUAAGGCACCUCAGUCAGACAUUGUUGAUGCCGAAAGCUAAUUUGGACUCCGAAACAACCGGAAGAAAACAAUUGAACAACCGUAAGAAAAUAUAAGUAUGGCUAGGAAGCAUCUGGGGCGGCAUUACAAAGACAAAGUCCAAGCCAAUUGUACAAAAUCCAUCGAAUCGACAAUGCGUGUGAGUUACCUACUUCUACUUAAUUACAAGAUCCUUUGAUCCUCAGGCGUGACAGAUUGCUAGUGCAUCGCGCUCAGGAUCUUGUUCGCCGCACUGGUGUGAUCUGUGUUGAGAGUUUUACACUUGAUAUCGACGAACAGGUAUGCAG